CAGUAGCCGCGGUAAUACGUAGGGUGCGAGCGUUAAUCGGAAUUACUGGGCGUAAAGCGCGCGCAGGCGGUUCUGUAAGACAGGCGUGAAAUCCCCGGGCUCAACCUGGGAAUGGCGCUUGUGACUGCAAAGCUAGAGUGCGGCAGAGGGGGAUGGAAUUCCGCGUGUAGCAGUGAAAUGCGUAGAUAUGCGGAGGAACACCGAUGGCGAAGGCAAUCCCCUGGGCCUGCACUGACGCUCAUGCACGAAAGCGUGGGGAGCAAACAGGAUUAGAGACCCCCGUAGUCCCUGUCUCUUAUAC
rnacentral:rRNA from 1 species